rnacentral:lncRNA from 1 species
GUUCAUACAUAUGUUAAUUGGUAGAAUCAGCAUUCUAACCCUAGCAGAAUGACACAGACCUAGACUAUUUAGCUUUCUAAAAUAAUUUUCUUUUCCCACAGAUUAAAGCACCAAAUCCUCAUAAAUACAUACAUUUGUCUGUGGAAUUUCUAUUCUUUUUCAAUAACCUAUUCAUAUAUUCCUACUUGACACAUUUAAAACAUUUCAUCUGAGUGUCUUAUCCACUCUGCUUACUAUUUUUAAUAGCUCCCUAAAGUGAAGAGGAGCUAAAAAGCCUCUUUAUGAAAGUGAAAGAGGAGAGUGAAAAAGUUAGCUUAAAAUUAAACAUUCAAAAAACAAAGAUCAUGGCAUCCAGUCCCAUCACUUCAUGGGAAAUAGAUGGGGAAACAGUAGAAACAGUGUCAGACUUUAUUUUUUGGGGCUCCAAAAUCACUGCAGAUGGUGACUGCAGCCAUGAAAUUAAAAGACGCUUACUCCUUGGAAGAAAAGUUAUGACCAACCUAGAUAGUAUAUUCAAAAGCAGAGACAUUACUUUGCCGACUAAGGUCCAUCUAGUCAAGGCUAUGGUUUUUCCUGUGGUCAUGUAUGGAUGUGAGAGUUGGACUGUGAAGAAGGCUGAGCGCCGAAGAAUUGAUGCUUUUGAACUGUGGUGUUGGAGAAGACUCUUGAGAGUCCCUUGGACUGCAAGGAGACUUUGGCCACCUCAUGUGAAGAGUUGACUUAUUGGAAAGGAUUCUGAUGCUGGGAGGGAUUGGAGUAGGGGCAGGAAAAGGGGAUGACAGAGGAUGAGAUCGCUGAAUGGCAUCACCAACUCGAGGGACGUGAGUCUGAGUCAACUCCGGGGGAUGGUGAUGGACAGGGAAGCCUGGUGUGCUGCGAUUCAUGGGGUCCCAAAGAGUCAGACAUGACUAAGCAACUGAACUGACUGACUGACUUAAGACCAAAGCAUUAGUGAUAAAUUUAUUACUGUGUCAGUUGCUCAGUUAUGUUGACUCUUUGUGACCCUAGGGACAAUAGCCCACUGGGCUCCUCUGUCCAUGGAAUUUAGGGACAGUAGCCCACUGGGCUCCUCUGUCCAUGAGAUUCUCCAGGCAAGGGUACUAGAGUGGGCUGCCAUCCCCCCCUCCAGGAGAUCUUCCUGAUCCAGGGAUCAAAUCCAAGUGUCUUAUGUCUCCAGAUCAGAUUUUUUACCAUCUGAGCCCACCUAUAUAUUUACAAAAUAUUUAACUUAUAAGAAAGAUGUAACAAUUCUAAGAUAUUAUGAAUAUAAAAGAAAAUCAAAUCUAAAAGAGAUGAAAAC